GGGUCUACUGGAGACCUUGGCUUUUUAUUUCCCUGACACAAUUUCACACUGCUGGAGCAAUGCUUGGAUUGCUCUGGAAACACUGGCAAAUCUCAAGAUGCAGUUCAGGCUUCUCUAUGAUGAGUGUGAGUCCCUAGGCUGUCUCUCAAACUAAAGAUUCCCCAGCCAGGCAACUCUAAAGAGUCUUCGACAAGGCAACACAAUUACUCUGUGUGCUUAGAAGAAGAGGAGUUAUAAAUGUCAGCUGUUGCUCUUUGAGUCCUGCUAAUUCAUUCAUUG
rnacentral:lncRNA from 1 species